rnacentral:lncRNA from 1 species
GUAAUCAGGCAUGUCUCACCAGUAUCACAAGCUCUCCUCAAUACUUCUAUCGCCUCGGGCACAAACAUCCAAAGCAUAACUCUACAAUCUGUCACAACGGCACGAUUUCAGGGGGAGUAUCACAAACUCUCUCCGACGCUUCUGUCACUCUAGCCGGAAGCCUUCUCGCCCAUCUUUGGAGGAGAGUAUCAUAAACUCUCAUCAACACUUCUGUCGUUUUGGCUAGAAGUCGUCUCAUUCCAAGGGGAGUAUCACAAACUCUCCACGAUACUUCUGUCGCUUCGGCCAGAAGCUGUCACAAUUCGGGGGGAGUAUCACAAACUCUCUCCGACACUCCUACCACUUCAGCCAGAACAUAUUUUUAUGCAGGUUUCAAAGGGGAGUAUCACAAGCUCUCCCGACUUUUCUGUCGCUCCGGCUGGAAAUUGUCAAAUUUCGAGGGGGAGUAUCACAAGCUCUCCCGACAUUUCUGUCGCUCCGGCCAGAAAUCGUCAUAUUUUAAGGGGGAAUAUCACAACUCCCUUCAGCAAACCUCCAGGUUCCUCAAAAAACAACCCCAAUGCUAAGUCGGCUAGUUAACAC